ACUACUACUGGAAAAGACAAAGAAGAAGACGACAGGAAGAUUUGGCCACACUUGUAACGGAAACGCAGCUAUGCUCACCCGUAGCGCGUGCUUAUGUUUCCUCCCAAUGUGGAUCCAGCGAUCAUCCCGAUACCAAAACACAGACCCAGUUUGGACAAAGCUUCGGCUCGUUUCUCUGGCUCUGAGAGGUAGUUUGUGGACGAACAGCAGGACGGGAUGGUUAGCGACAGCCAGAAGCAGAAAGGAAACUGUGGUUGCUGCACAAGCCAGAGACAAAG